rnacentral:lncRNA from 1 species
AAAUUAUUUGGGCUUGAAGGAGAUAGUAGUAAGCUCAUUAAUUAAGAGGCUCAAUAAAAUAGCCUACUAAUUAAUCAAGAAUGACGUGAAUUAAUAUACUGCAAUUGUCUCAAAAGAAUAAUGGAGGAGUCCAAACAAUAAUUAAUGUGGGCUGGAAAGAAUUAAUCUUAGUUAAAUAAACAAUUAAAUCGGCCCAAAUGAAACAAUAACCGGCCCAACAAUAUACAUAUGGGAUUUGGAAAUAGAAUAAUAUCUCAGCCCCUUUCUUUUUAAAACAAUUACAGCCCAAACUUUAAAAUAAUUCGGCCCAAAUCAUAAGGGAAAUGGC